rnacentral:rRNA from 1 species
CAGCCGCCGCGGUAAUUCGGGGGAUGCAAGCGUUAUCCGGAAUGAUUGGGCGUAAAGAGUCCGUAGGUAGUCAUCCAAGUCUGCUGUUAAAGAGCGAAGCUUAACCUCGUAAAGGCAGUGGAAACUGGAAGACUAGAGUGUAGUAGGGGCAGAGGGAAUUCCUGGUGUAGCGGUGAAAUGCGUAGAGAUCAGGAAGAACACCGGUGGCGAAGGCGCUCUGCUGGGCUAUAACUGACACUGAGGGACGAAAGCUAGGGGAGCGAAUGGGAUUAGAUACCCCAGUAGUCCUAGCGGUAAACGAUGGAAACUAGGUGUGGCCUGUAUCGACCCGGGCCGUGCCGAAGCAAACGCGUUAAGUUUCCCGCCUGGGGAGUACGCCCGCAAGUGUGAAACUCAAAGGAAUUG